UUCACCUCCACCCACAACAAGCCCUGCAGCAUCCUCAGUCCCAGUACCUUGGAAUUAAGAUUAAGGAGCCAUGCUUUUUGGAGAGAGAUUUCAAAAUGGAAAACAGGCCUUCUCCAACAAGAUCUGAACAUUGGCUGUCAAUUGAGUGUUCAGAGCCUAACUGAAAGCUGCCUUACUGGAACUGGAAUUUGGGAGUAGGGAAUCAUUUUCCUUAUGCACAUAUUUCUUCUGUUAGUGUAUGAAAUAGUUAAAAAUUACCAGCUGCUUAUAAAUUAAGUCUAUUUUUAAGGCAUAGUGCGCUGCUGCCUUUUU